rnacentral:lncRNA from 1 species
AGGACUAGAGUCAGAAUAUUUGAUCCUAUAGAAUGAUGGGAACAUCGAUGGAUUAUAGGUGGAAGGAAUAAAAUAAUUUUUCAUCUGCCUAGGUGGUUCUUAGAAUUUCUAGCCAUUUGAUUACCAUGUUUAACAUGGAUCAGUCGUUCAAUUUCAGGAUUAGGUUCAACUAGGUUAGAAAAAAUUAUACCAUGCAUGUACCAAUGCAAAUCCUAAUAUGUGUGGUUC